GUCUGGUGCCAGCAGCCGCGGUAAUUCCAGCUCCAAUAGCGUAUAUUAAAGUUGUUGCAGUUAAAAAGCUCGUAGUUGAACCUUGGGCCUGGCUGGCCGGUCCGCCUCACCGCGUGCACUGGUCCGGCCGGGUCUUUCCUUCUGGGGAGCCGCAUGCCCUUCACUGGGUGUGUCGGGGAACCAGGACUUUUACUUUGAAAAAAUUAGAGUGUUCAAAGCAGGCCUAUGCUCGAAUACAUUAGCAUGGAAUAAUAGAAUAGGACGUGUGGUUCUAUUUUGUUGGUUUCUAGGACCGCCGUAAUGAUUAAUAGGGAUAGUCGGGGGCAUCAGUAUUCAAUUGUCAGAGGUGAAAUUCUUGGAUUUAUUGAAGACUAACUACUGCGAAAGCAUUUGCCAAGGAUGUUUUCAUUAAUCAGUGAACGAAAGUUAGGGGAUCGAAGACGAUCAGAUACCGUCGUAGUCUUAACCAUAAACUAUGCCGACUAGGGAUCGGGCGAUGUUAUCUUUUUGACUCGCUCGGCACCUCACGAGAAAUCAAAGUCUUUGGGUUCUGGGG
rnacentral:rRNA from 1 species